CCCCCCACCCCCCUGAGGCCCGGGAAGAAGUCCGCCAGCAGAUUUCGGAGCCAAGUUCAUCGCCAUGCAACGCUCUACUGACCGAGUGGCCUCAGCUGGACGGCACCGCAUAACCUCUUGGUCGAGCCAGACGAAUCAAGAGCUUCAGCCCGGGCCCGGCUUUGGUUUCCAGAAACCACAAACCUUCCUUCCUACCAUAACUGUCCUGCAGGACUCGACUCCCAGUUACUGAGAUUCCACUCCAACCAACAGUGUUUCGUUGUCUGAACAUUUUAACCUCUUACACUUAUGGUGGCGCUAUUUCAUUUUUGGAAGAAAAACGUUCCCGUUUUAAACAAGAUAUUUUGUCACAAAAAGAUGCUCGACUAUGCAUAUAAUUGCUACUGUUCGAAAGAAAACACUCUGACGUGUCCAGAAAUACAAAUAUCUUCUCUGUGCGUGCCCUUUAACGUGAGCUUCAGGCAAAACCAAGAUGACUUGGCAUCCAGGAAAUGACAAGGAUUUUUGAGGCUCUGUCUUUCAUGAUCUCCU